UACGGAGGGGGCUAGCGUUGUUCGGAAUUACUGGGCGUAAAGCGCACGUAGGCGGCUUUGCAAGUUAGAGGUGAAAGCCCGGGGCUCAACUCCGGAAUUGCCUUUAAAACUGCAUCGCUAGAAUUGUGGAGAGGUAAGUGGAAUUCCGAGUGUAGAGGUGAAAUUCGUAGAUAUUCGGAAGAACACCAGUGGCGAAGGCGACUUACUGGACACAUAUUGACGCUGAGACGCGAAAGCGUGGGGAGCGAACAGG
rnacentral:rRNA from 1 species